ACGCGGUCGGAAAGAAUGGCAGGGCUUCCCUUCGAGGGGCCGUCCGACUGCGAGCCGAGCGGUUCCGCCAGAHGCAUUUGUCUCUCGCUCCGAGGACGCCGCAACCGGUCGGGCAGAGCAAGCGCGACGGCCUGAGGGGCGGACGACGGCAGGUGGCCGGUGGCGCACGCAAGCGCGUCGCCGGUUGUUAGCCGGUCCGCCAGUGGCACGUCGCUCGACCGAGGUAUCACGAGGCCCUCCGGGGCUCUCGCGCCUCCUCCGAAAGGAUGCGGGACAGACGGUCGCAGGCGAGGAACGUCGAGGCGCCGCACUCUCGUGAGUGGGCCGUUGAUUGUUGCUUGCCGUUGGUGACUGCGGGCCCGUCGGAGGUUGGCGGUUCGCGGCGAGUAGGUCGGUCACCCACCCGACCCGUCUUGAAACACGGACCAAGGAGUCUAACAUGUGCGCGAGUCAAUGGGUCUUGAACAGGCCCAGGGGCGCAAUGAAAGCAAAGGCCCGCUUCACGCGGGCCGAGUUGGGAUCCCGCCCGGAGACGGGUGAGGCGCACCAACGACCCGCCCUAUGCGGCUCGCCGCUUGGGUGGAGUGUGAGCGUACACGUUGGGACCCGAAAGAUGGUGAACUAUGCCCGGACAGGACGAGGCCAGAG
rnacentral:rRNA from 1 species